GUAGGGAAUAUUGCGCAAUGGGGGAAACCCUGACGCAGCGACGCCGCGUGAGUGAUGAAGGCCUUCGGGUCGUAAAGCUCUGUUGCAGGGGAAUAAAAAAAUGAAGGUACCCUGUGAGGAAGGAUCGGCUAACUUCGUGCCAGCAGCCGCGGUAAGACGAGGGAUCCUAGCGUUGUUCGGAAUCAUUGGGCGUAAAGAGGGCGUAGGUGGCUUGGUAAGUCAGGUGUGAAAGCCCAGGGCUCAACCCUGGAAGUGCAUUUGAUACUGCUGAGCUUGAGUGUCGGAGAGGUUACCGGAAUACCUGGUGUAGUGGUGAAAUACGUAGAUAUCAGGUGGAACACCGGAGGCGAAGGCGGGUAACUGGACGAACACUGACACUGAGGCCCGAAAGCGUGGGGAUCAAACAGGAUUAGAAACCCCGGUAGUCC
rnacentral:rRNA from 1 species